GAUGAACGCUGGCGGCGUGCCUAAUACAUGCAAGUCGAGCGAACCACUUCGGUGGAGAGCGGCGAACGGGUGAGUAACACGUAGGUCAUCUACCCAUUAGACGGGGAUAACGUUUGGAAACGAACGCUAAUACCGGAUAGGAUGCAAAUUUAAAGGUGCCCUCAAGCACCGCUAAUGGAUGAGCCUGCGGCGCAUUAGCUAGUUGGUAAGGUAAGAGCUUACCAAGGCGACGAUGCGUAGCCGACCUGAGAGGGUGAACGGCCACACUGGGACUGAGACACGGCCCAGACUCCUACGGGAGGCAGCAGUAGGGAAUCUUCGGCAAUGGACGAAAGUCUGACCGAGCAACGCCGCGUGAAUGAAGAAGGCUUUCGGGUCGUAAAAUUCUGUUAUAAGGGAAGAAAAGUUAGAGUAGGAAAUGGCUCUAAAGUGACGGUACCUUAUGAGAAAGCCACGGCUAACUACGUGCCAGCAGCCGCGGUAAUACGUAGGUGGCAAGCGUUAUCCGGAAUUAUUGGGCGUAAAGAGCGCGCAGGUGGUUGAUUAAGUCUGAUGUGAAAGCCCACGGCUUAACCGUGGAGGGUCAUUGGAAACUGGUCAACUUGAGUGCAGAAGAGGGAAGUGGAAUUCCAUGUGUAGCGGUGAAAUGCGUAGAGAUAUGGAGGAACACCAGUGGCGAAGGCGGCUUCCUGGACCAAAACUGACGUUGAUGCACGAAAGUGUGGGGAGCAAACAGGAUUAGAUACCCUGGUAGUCCACACUGUAAACGAUGGAUACUAGGUGUAGGAUGUGAUUUAACAACCUGUGCCGACGCAAACGCAAUAAGUAUCCCACCUGGGGAGUACGACCGCAAGGUUG
rnacentral:rRNA from 1 species